rnacentral:rRNA from 1 species
AACGAACGCUGGCGGCAGGCUUAACACAUGCAAGUCGAACGCAUCCUUCGGGGUGAGUGGCAGACGGGUGAGUAACGCGUGGGAACGUGCCCUUUAGUUCCGGGUAACCCAGGGAAACUUGGGCUAAUACCGGAUACGUGCGAAAGCAGAAAGAUUUAUCGCUGAAGGAUCCGCCCGCGUCUGAUUAGCUAGUUGGUGGGGUAAUGGCCCACCAAGGCGACGAUCAGUAGCUGGUCCGAGAGGAUUAUCAGCCACAUUGGGACUGAAAUACGGACCAAACUCCUACGGGAGGCAGCAGUGAGGAAUAUUGGACAAUGGGCGCAAGCCUGGUCCAGCCAUGCCGCGUGAGUGAUGAAAGCCUUAGGGUUGUAAAGCUCUUUCGUCCGGGACGAUAAUGACGGUACCGGAAGAAGAAGCCCCGGCUAACUUCGUGCCAGCCGCCGCGGUAA